CGGAUAAUUCAAGUCGAACCGAUUGGAUGUCCGACUCGGGCCUAUAUGACAUGACCUAUCAAUAAAAAUACUCUAACACUCCACCCCUGUCAUAUAUUCCAUACAUCACACUAGAUAGAUAUCAUAUUCAUGGAAUACGAUUCACUUUCAAGAUGCCUUGGUGGUGAAAUGGUAGACACGCGAGACUCAAAAUCUCGUGCUAAAGAGCGUGGAGGUUCGAGUCCUCUUCAAGGCAUAAUAUUGAGAUCUCUUA